UUCAUUAAAUCAAUGGCUUCCUUUCUAUAGCACUGGCUCCCUUUCUAUAGCACAAAUAAAAGUUUUCAGUGUACAACAACGAUUAGAGAGCACAUUAAUUGUCUUAGAAGACAUUAUGGUUUACUUAGUGCUACUCACUUUGAUUUUCUGCAGAAGGAUGCUUUAACACUAUGCUGUGAUCACUGCUAGAGGGUUCUCAACCUGGACACACAGAGGUGUAGAACAUUACUGCAUUGCCACUGGUUAUUGCAGUGUGUUGCCACUCAUCAUUUCAAAAUUAUUUACUCUGUGGGAGCACAGCAGUGUUGUGAAUCUCCAUCUGUGCAGCCAGAGAAGGGCUGGUUAUCUUGUGCUGCAUGGAGGGACCAUAAUUGCCUUUUCAUCUUUUGCAGGGAUUAAUCCCAAGCCUGUAUCCAUAACUGGUGAGAUAAUUAACUCUUUAUUUAUUGAUUCACACUUUAUGCCAUGCAUACAUAUAAUAAUUACCUUCAUGUUUUCUUCUAUUCCAUUGUCUUCUAGCUUCUUUUAGCAGGCCAUUGUCUUUCCCAACACUUCAGGAGAAAGGACUGAGUACUGAGAUGUCUGUCUCCUCUGUACCUUAUAGAUGAAAAAAUUAUUUCCUUUUUUGCCUUCACCGGUUACAAUAUUAAGAUAUAUUCUAUUCCCAUCCUCAAGAGCUGCUGAAGCCAGGAGGGGCAUUGUUUCUUCCUUAUCUCCUGUUAAUGGGCCCAUCAAUGCCUUGUCUCAUGACUCAGAGAUAACUCCAUCCAGGGACCAUUUCUGUUUGAUGGACCCAUCACAUGACUCAGAGAAUUAUAUCAGCCCAUUGUGAGAGGCUCUGCCCAGGAGGGUGGAGCCCAACUGGAUACAAUCUGGGAUUUGGGAUAGAGCAGUCAGUCUUUCCACUGGAUUCCCAGAGGAAUGGCCAUCUUUUCCACAUGAUCUACAGAGGAAGGCUACACCCUUUCUACAGGAUCAUUGCUCCAACAGAACCACAUUUGCUACUCCAGGAGGACUGCAGCCAACAAUCCAACUGGACUGCUACCAACACCCUGACCAACAGGGCAUCAGAGCCUGGUGAGGGCCUGUCCAAGAAGGUUGAAGCCUAGAGGUUUGGGAAAUCCAGUACCUGGAAGAAGCAGCAAUCUAUUAUUGUUGAGGGUGAACCUGUCCUACUACUGUCCCAGGUGACACCAGCAGCGCUUGUCCAGAAGACCUGGAUGUCCCUCCCAUUUAUAGCUGUGAGAAAAGAAGAAACAAACUGGAUCCAUGGGAAUGGCUCAGGAUCCCUCCCUAAAGAAAACAAGGCCCUGACUAAAGAAACUAUUCAGGGAUGUGUAUUUACACAACCCUUUAAACAUGGAAGUAAAUAGAGCUUAUUCAUGACCUUAAAGAUGGGUUAUUCUUUCUGAAGAUUAAUGUCCCAAAUCAGGGUCUCCUGUAUCAUAGUUGGGGUACUUGCUAACUGUAGUCACAAAAAUUAAUCAGUGCAGCUGUGAUCAAAAGUCACCAAGUUGUCCAAGUGUACAAACAAAUUUUUAGUUCUAAGCAAGCUAGGGUAUUGUAACAAACGUAGCUAUAAGCUCUAUUGUGAAGAAUAAAAGUUUCUGAUACAUGUGUUCUAUUCCUUCAUGUCUAAAAUACCUUAGGAAGUCUUAAAAUAGAUUGGGAAACCUGGGCCCCUAUUUUAUGGCCUACACAGUAUAUGGAUAAGAGAAGCUUGGGUUUUUUGUUUUUUUUUUUAUUGCUCAGCAAUGCCAUUAUGUAUUUAUAUAUUUUAUUAGUGAAAGAACAAGCUGAAAGGAAGUAUAUUUGUGACAAGAGGACUGCAUUUCUUUUAUAACAGGUAUAUGGUUGACUUCUCUCAUCGAGUAUUGUUCAGUCUUUUUGAUGUACAUAUUUAUCAACUACCCUUCUGUGUUCCUUCCCUGCUUUGCCUGAUGUAUUACCUGAUUUUUUUUCCUCAGUACAAAACAUUUUUAGUUGCACCAGAUUUGGGAUAGUUUUUAAUGGAAGCACAGCAGACAGAACGGGUAUAUCUGUGAGGAUAAUAUUAGCAUGGCAACAGGACUCUUGGUAGCCAUAAAAAGAAGUAUAAGACCUACCCAUAAAGUAUAUGAGCAAUGUAAGGACUUUUGCAAUGAGCCUUUAAGCAACCUGGUCUAGUGGAAGGUGUCCUUGCUAUAGGUGGGGAGGAUGGGAACUAGGUAAUCUUUAAGGUCUCUUCCAACCCAAACCUUUCUGUGAUUCCAGAAUUCUAUCAGUCUAUGGAGAAGAAAACUGAAUUUUGGGAGAGACAUCUGGAAGGCACCAAGAUACUUGAGGAUCAUAAAAGGAUUUGGGUACAUUUGGUGAGCUGAGGCCAGUCUAAGCUCAUUGCACCCAGAAGAGUGAUGCAGAAUAUAGCUUUUUUACAGACUGUCUGAAGAGUUCGCUGGGAAGAGCAGGAAUCACAGCAGCCAAAACAGAACUGUCAGAUAGCCUUUAGCCCCCAGCAUUUUGGUGAGUCGUGUGGGAGACAAGGUAAUUGGUGGUAGCUGUGCUUUAUUUAGUGACUUUAGUUACUGUGUGGAAACCACCACUUGUUUCUAUUAAAAACGUGUUGUUUAAAUGGGAUUAAGAAUUUAAAAGAAAGCUGCCUGGGCACCCAGCCAUACAGAAUAUCUAUCUAUAGUUUAGCAAUGAUAAGCCAGCACUGGAAUUACUAGGCCAAGUUCCUCCAUGGUAUAAGCUAAUAUAAGCAAACCGGAGACCCUGGUGUAUGAAAUGAGGCUGUGUUUCUCCAAAAUGUAACCGAUACAAAAAAGCUCCUUGUUGUCUGCUUGUAGAGGUUCAGUAUUAGCAUAAGAAACUAGGAAUUCUGUCUGGAUGGACAUUGCCCGUGGAAAAUAAGGUUCAUACAAGGAAGAAAAGCUGCCAAAGAGGCUGGUUUUUUGUUGCCUAGAAAAUGAGAAGUUUUAGCAACUUUCAUGUUUCUAAAAACAAGAAGCUCUGCAGUGUGAGAAAAGGCAAGGAAGUACCCCCUACUCUCUUGUGUUACUGAGUUCAUCAGGGAAAGGACUUGAUUUUGAAGAUGUGUUAUUUCUUUUUAAAAUGAGGAAACAGCUGGAUGUCACUAGAUGAAGCUAUGCAAUACAAAAAAUACCUACAGCAGAAAAAGUUUUAACAUAGAAAAAUGUAGAUAUCUUUUUCUCCCUAUUCUUAUCACAGUUGAUUCCCAGGCUUAAAUAUUUAAAUGAUUGUACUAGUUAUUCACUAACUUAUUUUAUAUUGGCAUUUGCUUUGCAUGUUGCUCCAUCCAAAAUUAGCUUUAGUUUCUUGCCCACUGAUUUCCUAGUACACUGGGAAAUCAUAACACAUUCAAAAAAUAGUGUUUUCUUUCUCAGCUGUAAGCUGAUGAUAUUAUCCUGAAUUAAUUAAUUCUCUGAAAGCUUGAGAGCUGUGCAAUGGUUUGCCUAAAAUUAUAUAAAUGGUCCCAGACGUUGUCUGGCAACUGUCUGAUAUCCCUACCAAUCAGAAGAUUAUUUAUGUCUAUAAAGUUCUGGAUUGCUCUCAGUUUAAAGGAACUUCAAAUACCUCUGUGGUCUCUGGGGACAGAGUUGCAUCCAUGUGACUUGAUACACCAGUUGAAGAAAAAUUGAUACAGCAUGGAAGUAUAUUGUCAAAGACCUAUCCAUUAUUUACUAUUGAUCAAUGCUGAAAGUUGAAGUUUAAAAGUUGAGGUCAACAGUUCUUUGUCUCAGACAUUUAAUGGAAAACAAUCAAAAGAGUUGGAGCUGGGAGGACAAGAGGUCCAUUUGAUGAAGCACCAAUUGAUCACACUCUGACUUCUCCCUUCGGGAGUGGUUGCGUGACAGAAGUUUGAUUCAUCAUCUGCUCUGUGCAGAUGGGGAGUAGUGAACGCUUUUUUGUGUUCACCUUUAUUUGAUUGAGCACUGGGGACUACUAGCUCAUAUAGAAGGAGCAGACAGGAGUGUAAACAAUUGAGAAGAUGCAUGGGGUUGUGGCUACUCUCUCAGAUGGGCCUGAAUAUUUAGCUCUAAUUCUGAUUACAUGGAGUUUAAUGCAAUGUCAUGAACAGAAUAAUCUCUGUGUAUGAAAGAGAUGGCACCCUCUGCAUUAUGGGGAAUGCGCUGGCAGGAAAAGCAACAGGUCACUUACCAUCCUUUGAAUGUGUACCAGCCUCCAUAUUAGCCUCAUGCACUGGCGAUGUUUAGUUUGCUGACCUACUUUCUAUAAAGUACUUCCUCAAAAGUAAGGACAAGUGAAAGAAGAACUGGGCACAGAAAGUCUAAUGCUGUGACAAAAAACCCUCAGAACAUCCAGGAUCUGUGAUUACACUGUGCUUAUAAUGGAAGUCUUUGGGAAAAGCAUACAGAACUUGAGCUAGAUCGUGGAGAACCUCUACUAGCUGACAACAAGAAUACUAAAAGCAGACAGGGGUGCUGAGGCUCUUUGGUAGCAUCUGGAGAGAGUGAGAGAUGGGUGUUGCUGAGCUAAGUGCAGCGGGGUAGCUGCAGGGUGCCUGAGAGAAAUGCUGGCUCACUCCAGGGCUUUCCUGCUGGGCACCACACACACUUGGUCUGCCAGCUGCUGCAGUAAUAGCAAGAGAGGUUCAAUGAAGCAGCAAAGCAAAAAUCUGCCAAAAAGUCUGGAACAGUGUAGUUUUAUGCUUUUCAGGCUCUUGAUUGUAUUUUAAGUAUAAAGGCUAAUUAAAGGGCUGAAAUUUUAGGAAGGAAACAUCUAAUGGCAUUUUUAAAAAUUGCUCUCUGCACAAAAAGACAUACACCUUUGUAGAAGAGAUUUCAGCACCAUUGGUAGGACUUUUGAAGUAUUUGGAGGCACAGUUAUAUUUGAGAAGGGUCCAUUUGAGGUGAGACAAUUCUCUCCCAGACAAAUUAUCUUAGAAUAUAAGAAUUGUGGCUGAAAAUGUGGUAUUUUAAACCAUUUCCCAUUCAAUUUCUGUCUUCAGUGCCACAAGGAUAUUGGUGUAAAACGCAUGAGAUUCCAGGUGCUUUUUAGGCUGGUCUAGACCUGUAUGUGAAAUCAUAAACAAAAUGACACUUCUAAUAUUAUAAUAGCUGAUAUGCUUGUGCUUGCUAAUUUUUUGCAAAAUUAUACCCUUGAGGAUGAGUGAAGUUAAUCAUAUUUGGUUGAAGAGACAACAGAAAUUCAUGUCUGAUAUUGGAGAUAUUAAUGGUGUCUAAUUAAUAUACCCAUUAAAAGUUUGCAAGAUUAAUCUAGCAAGAAAAUUGUAACCAAGUUUAAUUUUUUUUUUCUAAAAUUGGUUUCCGAGACUUUAGGAAAGGAUUUUAAAUAGAAUGCAGUUAAUAAGAAAUCCCAGGAAGUAUUAUUUGUAUGAAGUAGCAGGCUGAGGGAUUGAUAACAGAAUCCUGAAUCUUUUUUCUUUACCUUACCAGUGUGACUGUAAUCCUUCAAGGAUUUAAUGAAUAAUCCUUACAAUAUAUUGACUAAAUGCUAAGAUACAUUAAAUUUCUAGGUCCUAGAUUGGUUCAGCUGAGCAACUACCCAUACUUGUAGAAAGAGCUGCUGUUCUUUGACAGGAAUUGCUCAUAGAAGGAAUGCCAGAUCCCCUAGAAGAUCAUGGGGGAGAGAGCAAGGAUUGAAGGGAAGGAGAACAGGAAAGAUCACUGAGAUUGUGGCCAAGCUCCUCAAUAAAAACCAGAGCCAGGUGGCAUGGACUGGGUCAUGUGCACACUGUUUGGGAAGAGCUCCCUGCAGUUACACAGCAUUUUCUUCUCUCUUUUGGGCAUCACAGGGGCUCAUGACAUCAUUGUUAUUUUGGUGUGUAAUUUUUUUUUCUAUUCAAAGAUUCUGGAAAAGCUGGGAGGGCUUUGCUGUUUCCAGUUACUGCAAUGUUUUGUAGCAUGAACUUGAAGGUAUUUGUUAUACGAAUGGAUGUAGCUUGUGGGCAUGCUGGAGUUUUUUCAGGGACCAAUAUCCAAAGUGGUUAAAGUCUUAAGAUAACCUGUUCACAGAGAGAUAUGACAAUUCAGACACUGAGAUUCUUUGUAUAGGAAAGAGUGAGUACAUUUUACAUCUGGAGAUGGAAGAAGGGAGAGGCUGCUUAAGCCAGAAAGAAACUCUGAGGGUAGGUGUGUUUGGUUUUUUUCACUUUUAGACGUUUUCUUGUGGGUGAGGCAAAGACCUAUAUAUUGAUAAAGCUGGGAUUUUAUGAUUGAAUCAAAAUUUUGGACUGAAUUACUCAAAUUGUUUGUGUGCAUAUGAUUUCCUGACUUAUUUUUAGCUUUAACAAUGACAGAGCAGUUAGUUUUACCUCCUUGACAAAAACAAGAAUUACAAAUUAAAAUACCUGUUUGUACAUAAACACAUGGCAUGUACAUAAAGACAUGUCAUAAGACUUAUUUGCAAAGCCUCAGGCAUGGGGAGGAGAUGGAUUGCAAGAUUUGCAGCUUGGCUAGAUUGGCCUGUGGGCGCACACAAAGUGAUGUGAUUUACUUUGGUGGCUAUAGCGCACAAGCCUGCAGCCUCUAAAGUGUUCAGCUGCUUUUCCAAGGGAAAGCUUAUUUAUGCUUAAGUACCAGAUUUGGUUUCUGUUGGUUUGUUUGGGUUUUUUUUUUUUGACAAAUGUAAAUUUUGUGUAUGUACUAAUGUAGUAAAAUGUAAAUUUUGCCUAUGUGAUGUGGUUAUGGUGGCACAGUGAGUCUGUCUGGAAAGCUGAAUCCCUUGCUAGAGGUGUAAUUACUGAGCUGUAACUUACUCAUCUCCAAACUCACUGAAAUCACAGGGACCUCUUUUUGUGUUAGACAAUUGAGUAACUGGGGUGGAUGAUUCCAGUACCAAUGUGAUCCAUAGUGGGUUGUUCUACGUGCACAGGAUGGAUUCACAAAGUAGGGAAACAGAAGGAUCUGGAUGGACUGGACCAAUGGACAAAGGCCAAUAGGAUGACAUUUAACAAGGCCAAGUUCUGUGUGCUGCACUUGGGUCACAACAGCCCCAUGCAUUGCCACAGGCUGGGAAAGAGUGGCUGGAAAGCUGACCAGCAGAAAAGGACCUGGGGAUGCUGGCUGGAAGUUGCUGAACCUGAGCCAGCAGUGUCAAGGUGAACAAGAAGGUUAAUGGCCCGGGCCUGUAUCAGCAAUAUUGUGGCCAGCAGGACCCGGGAAGUGAUUCUCUCCCUGUACUUGGCACUGGUGAGGCCACAUCUUAAAUCCAGUUCUGGGUCUCUCACUUGAAGAAGGACAUUGAGGUGCUGGGGUGUUUCCAGAGAAGAGCAAUGGAGCUAGGGAAGGGUCUGGAGCACAAAUCCUGUGAGGAGCAGCUGAGGGAGCUGGAGAUGUUUAGUGUGGAAGAAAGGAGGCUCAGGGGAACCUUAUCAUAUUGUAAAUCAAGGUCAACUCCGACGAGGGGAGAGAGAAUGAUGCAUCUGACUCUGUCUUAUCAGAAGGCUAAUUAAGUACUUUAUUACACUAUAUUAUUCUAUAAAUCUGAAACGGAAUCUGCCAUGCACUCACUCAUGCUCCCAACUGCACAGAACUGCACUCAUCUCUGAUUCUUCCGUGACUCUCUCGUCACUGUCAGCAGACAGUCCUGACACAGACACACUCUUGGCCCUGAUAGGCCAAGGGAACAAAAUAUCCUCACUUUGGGUAAACAAUCUCCAUAUUGCAUUCUA